rnacentral:miRNA from 1 species
UCUUCUGGGGAGUGAGGUUGGUGUCUGGCCCCAGCAGCCCAGACUGAGCCUUUCUCUCUCUCCAG